GAAAGUAAUUAAGGGCGCAUGGCGGAUGCCUUGGCUCAUGGAGGCGAUGAAGGACGUGAUAAGCUGCGAUAAGCUGCGGGUAGGUGCAAAUAACCAUUAAUCCGCGGAUUUCCGAAUGGGACAACCCAAUUACCAUAAGGUAAUUAUCAUAUAUAUGAUAUAUGAGGCGAACCGAGGGAACUGAAACAUCUUAGUACCUCGAGGAAGAGAAAAUAAACUAAUGAUUCCCCUAGUAGUGGCGAGCGAACGGGGACUAGCCCAAACCAAUGUUGUAUUUUGCAAUGUUGGGGUUGUAGGACUACGUUGUUGUACUUGAAUUGCGAGAAGAAUAUUCUGGAAAGUUUAGCCAUAGCAGGUGAAAGCCCUUUAUUCGAAGCAUGCCAAGACAUAGUAGUAUCCUGAGUAGCGCGGGACACGUGUAAUCCUGUGUGAAUCUGCCGGGCCCAUCCGGUAAGGCUAAAUACUCCCAUGAGACCGAUAGCGUACCAGUACCGUGAGGGAAAGGUGAAAAGAACUUCGAUAAGAAGAGUGAAAUAGAUCCUGAACCCAUGCGCCUACAAGCGGUCGGAGCAUUAUAUGAUGUGACGGCGUGCCUUUUGCAUAAUGAACCUACGAGUUACCGUCACUGGCAAGGUUAAUCCUCUUAAGUGGAGCAACCGCAGUGAAAGCGAGCCUUAACAGGGCGUUAAGUCAGUGGUGGUAGACGCGAAACCAAGUGAUCUACACUUGUCCAGGAUGAAGUUCCGGUAACACGGAAUGGAGGUCCGAACCAAUAAGCGUUGAAAAGCUUCUGGAUGAGGUGAGUGUAGGAGUGAAAGGCCAAUCAAACUUGGAGAUAGCUCGUACUCCCCGAAAGGCAUUUAGGUGCCGCGUACGAUGAUUAACGUAAGAGGUAGAGCGACCGAUAGGUCAAGAGGGCUUCACCGCCUAUCGAGACCUGACGAACUCCGAAUGCUUACGCUUUGCAGUCGUGCAGUAAGGGGGCGGGUGCUAAGGUCCGUCCCCGAGAGGAGAAGAAUCCAGACCGUCGUUUAAGGUCCCCAAAUUCUGUCUAAGUUAGUCUAACGAAGUCUGGUCCCCAUGACAGCCAGGAUGUUGGCUUGGAAGCAGCCAUUCAUUUAAAGAGUGCGUAACAGCUCACUGGUCGAGGGUCCGGGCAUGGAUAAUAAUCGGGUAUAAGGCAGAUACCGAAGGCGCGGGAUAGUAUUUAAAAAAGUAUCGGUAGGGGAGCAUUCCAUCGACGUUGAAUGAUAUAGGACAACUAUAUCUGGAGUUUAUGGAAAAGCAAAUGUAGGUAUAAGUAACGAUAAGGAGGGUAAGAUUCCCUCCCGCCGUAAGACCAAGGUUUCCCGGGCAAUGUCAAUCACCCCGGGGUUAGUCGGGUCCUAAGUCUCAGCCGAAUGGCGAUGGCGAUGGUAGAAACGGUUAAUAUUCCGUUACUGCUUUAAUGAGUGAUGGGCAGACGAAGAAGUGACACCACCGCGAGGCGACGGAAGUCCUCGUUGAAGAGUGUAGGAGUUGAUGAUUGCAGGUAAAUCCACAAUCAGAUCCGAACUUGAUAGUAUGGUUUUCUCCUCGGAGCGAACCAAUAGUGUGGGUAAUCCUGCUUCCAAGAAAAUGCUCUAAACAUAUUGUUAAAGCACCCGUACCGUAAACGGACACACGUAGUCGGGUAGAAUAUACUAAGGCGUUGAGAGAUUCAUGGUUAAGGAACUAGGCAAAUUGACCCCGUAACUUCGGGAUAAGGGGUCCUCAUACUGUAAUGGUAGUGAGGCGCAGAGAAUCGGUCCAGGCAACUGUUUAACAAAAACACAGGGCUGUGCUAACUCGAAAGAUGAUGUAUACAGUCUGACACCUGCCCGGUGCUGGAAGGUUAAGAGGAGAGCUUAUUCUUCGGAAGAAGGUUUGAAUUGAAGCCCCAGUAAACGGCGGCCGUAACUAUAACGGUCCUAAGGUAGCGAAAUUCCUUGUCGGGUAAGUUCCGACCUGCACGAAUGG
rnacentral:rRNA from 1 species